rnacentral:lncRNA from 1 species
AUUCAUUUCAGGUAUCAUGUUCAUACAAGAUCAUGCAAACAUCUAAUUCUAUACAAAAUGUCAAGAUUCAAAAACCAAUCCACUUUCAUUCAAAAUAAUCAACUCCAUUCAUUACAUAAUCAUACAAUUUUCAUUACAUGAAAAAUAUCAACAAAAAAAAUAUGUUGACCAAAUGUUGACUUUGGUCAACAGUUGACUUUUUUGUAAACUUUGACCAAAGUCAACUCAACCCCUUUUCAUCAUAAAACCCUAAAUCACAAUCUUAUUUAUAAUCUUAAGUUUGAUCAUUGAUCCUUAAGUUUGCUAUUUUUACAUGGAUACUUCAAAGAUUCAACUUAGUAUCACUUGCUUGAAGGUCUUGUCCAACCAUCCUCCAUGUGCAUAACCAUGACCUAGCAAACACAUGAAUGAAGACAUAACUCAUAGCAUGCAUAACCCAAUUGAAGCAUGCUUUGAACCAAAAUUAGAAUACCUUACAAACCUAGUUGUAAUUCAAUUACAAAGUCAGUAUCAAAGACACAAACAUAAACCAACAUGAGUGAACUUAGCAAACCUCAUACUUGCUGCACAAUAAACAAGUCAACACACAAUACACAUAAGCAUUUCCAUCUAGACCUGAACAAAUAAGCACCAAGUUGCAAUAUAAACAUGAACCAAACACAAUAUCACCUUGCAGCACAAGUCAGGAACAUGCCAAGAAUGAAAUCACAAGCCAAAUGAAGCUGAUCAAGAACCCAACUGCAACAUGAGGCAAUGAACAGACCUACAAACCUCCACCCUUCAAAACCAAAAUAAGAACAACUUCACAUAAACCCAUGACCAAAUUAAACACCAUACAAACCCUUUAAAACCAGUGCAAUGGAACUUAACCAAGCUACAAAAGGCAUCACAAAAAUUAUGCAAUGCCAUAACCGUUAAAAAAAACAUCAAACUAAACUCAACUGAACAAUCCCUAUUACAACUAACAUUCAAAAAACUACAACAAACAUAAAUGAAUUCAGGCCCUAAUUGCCAGCUGGAUUGGCAUGGGGAUCCAUAAAACCAAAACUAAAUACCUAAUUGAUUGCAUCGAAUUCCACAAACUCCUAACAUUCAUAACUAAUUUUUUCACAAUCUCAAUGCUCAUAACAACCUAUAAAUUCAACCACCAAUCAUUUUUCAUUAUGGACACCAUCAUUCACCCUCACUCUCCCAUCAUUACCAUUCUCAACUGAAGAUUCAAAACCUCAUUCUCCCACUCUCAAUUUCCA